rnacentral:rRNA from 1 species
UGGGGAAUAUUGCACAAUGGAGGGAACUCUGAUGCAGCGACGCCGCGUGAGUGAUGAAGGAAUUCGUUUCGUAAAACUCUGUUCUAUGGGAAGAAAAGGACUGUACCAUAGGAGAAAGCUCCGGCUAAAUACGUGCCAGCAGCCGCGGUAAUACGUAUGGAGCGAGCGUUGUCCGGAAUUAUUUGGCGUAAAGGGUGCGCAGGCGGCUUUACAAGUUGGAUGUGAAAUAUUGUGGCUCAACCACAAACGUGCAUCCAAAACUGCAAAGCUUGAGUUAAGGAGAGGUAAGUGGAAUUCCUGGUGUAGCGGUGGAAUGCGUAGAUAUCAGGAGGAAUACCGGUGGCGAAGGCGACUUACUGGACUUAAACUGACGCUCAGGCACGAAAGCGUGGGGAGCAAACAGG